rnacentral:rRNA from 1 species
AGUACACGAGUUUGAUCAUGGCUCAGGAUGAACGCUGGCGGCGUGCCUAACACAUUCAAGUCGAACGGUGACGGGACUUCGGUCCCUGAUCAGUGGCGGACGGGUGAGUAACGCGUGAGCAACCUGCCUUUGCUUGGGGGAUAACAACUGGAAACGGUUGCUAAUACCGCAUAAUGUAGCGACUUCGCAUGAAGAUGCUACCAAAGAUUUAUCGCACAAAGAUGGGCUCGCGGCUGAUUAGAUAGUUGGCGGGGUAACGGCCCACCAAGUCGACGAUCAGUAGCCGGACUGAGAGGUUGAUCGGCCACAUUGGGACUGAGACACGGCCCAGACUCCUACGGGAGGCAGCAGUGGGGAAUAUUGCACAAUGGGGGAAACCCUGAUGCAGCGACGCCGCGUGAACGAAGAAGUAUUUCGGUAUGUAAAGUUCUAUCAGCAGGGAAGAUAAUGACGGUACCUGACUAAGAAGCACCGGCUAAAUACGUG